GGGGAAUAACACUGGGAAACCGGCGCUAAAACCGCAUGAGACCACGGCUCGGCAUCGAGCUGUGGUAAAAAAUGGGGACCCUUGACACGAAAGUGUCAAGGGCCUGUUGCUUGAGGAUGAGCUCGUGUCCUAUCAGCUUGUUGGCGGGGUAACGGCCCACCAAGGCAUUUGACGGGUAGCUGGUCUGAGAGGAUGGUCAGCCACAUUGGGACUGAGACACUGCCCAGACUCCUACGGGAGGCAGCAGUGGGGAAUUUUGGACAAUGGGCGCAAGCCUGAUCCAGCAAUGCCGCGUGCAGGAAGAAGGCCUUCGGGUUGUAAACCGCUUUUGUCAGGGAAGAAAUCCUCUAGGUUAAUACCCUUGGGGGGAUGACGGUACCUGAAGAAUAAGCACCGGCUA
rnacentral:rRNA from 1 species